rnacentral:rRNA from 1 species
UACGUAGGGUGCGAGCGUUGUCCGGAAUUAUUGGGCGUAAAGGGCUCGUAGGCGGUUUGUCGCGUCGGGAGUGAAAACUCAGGGCUUAACCCUGAGCCUGCUUCCGAUACGGGCAGACUAGAGGUAUGCAGGGGGAGAACGGAAUUCCUGGUGUAGCGGUGAAAUGCGCAGAUAUCAGGAGGAACACCGGUGGCGAAGGCGGGUCUCUGGGCCGAUACUGACGCUGAGGAGCGAAAGCGUGGGGAGCGAACAGG